rnacentral:rRNA from 1 species
CAGGCCUAACACAUGCAAGUCGAACGCUAAUUUAUAUAGAGUGGCGCACGGGUGAGUAACACGUGGGAACUGCCCUUCUGCCUGGGAUAACAGUUGGAAACGACUGCUAAUACCGGAUACGCCCUUCGGGGGGAAGGUCCGCCGCAGAAGGAGGAGCCCGCGCUCGAUUAGCUAGUUGGUGAGGUAAUGGCUCACCAAGGCGACGAUCGAUAGCUGGUCUGAAAGGAUGAUCAGCCACACUGGGACUGAGACACGGCCCAGACUCCUACGGGAGGCAGCAGUGGGGAAUAUUGGACAAUGGGGGCAACCCUGAUCCAGCAAUGCCGCGUGUGUGAUGAAGGCCUUAGGGUUGUAAAGCACUUUCACUGGUGAAGAUGAUGACGGUAACCAGAGAAGAAGCCCCGGCUAACUUCGUGCCAGCAGCCGCGGUAAUACGAAGGGGGCGAGCGUUGUUCGGAAUUACUGGGCGUAAAGGGAGCGCAGGCGGUUCAUUAAGUUAGGCGUGAAAGCCCCGGGCUCAACCUGGGAACUGCGCUUAAUACUGGUGAGCUAGAAAACAGGAGAGGGUAGUGGAAUUUCCAGUGUAGAGGUGAAAUUCGUAGAUAUUGGAAAGAACACCGGUGGCGAAAGCGGCUACCUGGCCUGAUUU